UACGUAGGGGGCAAGCGUUGUCCGGAAUCAUUGGGCGUAAAGAGCGCGUAGGCGGUCCGGUAAGUCCGCUCUGAAAGUCCGGGGCUCAACCCCGGGAGGCGGGCGGAUACUGUCGGGCUAGAGUCCGGAAGAGGCGAGUGGAAUUCCUGGUGUAGCGGUGAAAUGCGCAGAUAUCAGGAGGAACACCGGUGGCGAAGGCGGUUCUCUGGGCCUGACCUGACGCUGAGGAGCGAAAGCGUGGGGAGCGAACAGG
rnacentral:rRNA from 1 species